rfam:Crassostrea gigas strain 05x7-T-G4-1.051#20 contig19929, whole genome shotgun sequence.
AAGAUCAUACUCUUAGGGAUCAUUUCUAUAGUAUGUAUCGCCGGGACGCCAGGUAUAACUGUAAGUUCCAGAAACCACGACGAUGAGGAAGAGUGGCCUCUUCUGAGCGUGAAGCGGGCGAGGGCUGCUGGGCUUCACCGCCCAGCUUGGCCCUCGUCAUUGAUGACCGUUCCUCUCUCCCUUAAGUGGCGAGUUGGAGGUAGAGGUCACAUUCUGAGUGGU